GAUGAACGCUGGCGGCGUGCCUAAUACAUGCAAGUCGAGCGAACGGACGAGAAGCUUGCUUCUCUGAUGUUAGCGGCGGACGGGUGAGUAACACGUGGAUACCCUACCUAUAAGACUGGGAUAACUUCGGGAAACCGGAGCUAAUACCGGAUAAUAUUUUGAACCGCAUGGUUCAAAAUUGCAAUACGGUCUUGCUGUCACUUAUAGAUGGAUCCGCGCUGCAUUAGCUAGUUGGUAAGGUAACGUCUUACCAAGGAAACGAUGCAUAGCCGACCUGAGAGGAUGAUCGGCCACCCUGGAAAUGAGACCCGGUCCAGACUCAUACGGGAGGCAGCCGUAGGGAAUCUUCCGCAUUGGGCGAAAGCCUGACGGAGAAACGCCGCGUGCGUGAUGAAGGUCUUCGGAUCGUAAAACUCUGUUAUUAGGGAAGAACAUAUGUGUAAGUAACUGUGCACAUCUUGACGGUACCUAAUCAGAAAGCCACGGCUAACUACGUG
rnacentral:rRNA from 1 species